AUUGAACGCUGGCGGCAUGCCUUACACAUGCAAGUCGAACGGCAGCGCGGGGGGCAACCCUGGCGGCGAGUGGCGAACGGGUGAGUAAUGCAUCGGAACGUAUCCUGUAAUGGGGGAUAACGUAGCGAAAGUUACGCUAAUACCGCAUACGCUCGAGAGAGGAAAGUGGGGGAUCGCAAGACCUCACGUUAUAGGAGCGGCCGAUGUCCGAUUAGCUAGUGGGACGGGGUAAAGGCCCACCAAGGCGACGAUCGAUAGCUGGUCUGAGAGGAUGAUCAGCCACACUGGAACUGAGACACGGUCCAGACUCCUACGGGAGGCAGCAGGUAGGGAAUAUUGGACAAGUGGGGGCAACCCUGAUCCAGCCAUGCCG
rnacentral:rRNA from 1 species